rnacentral:lncRNA from 1 species
GCAAUAUUGUUAUUGAUGAUAUAUCGAUAACUAAAAUAUCAGGAUAUUGUCACAUCGGCAACACGUCGAUUUUCGGUCGAUUAUAUUAGACUAUGAAAGUUAAUGAGAAUAAUCUGAAAAGGUGAGUCAGAAAUUACAAUAAAUUAAAAUUUAAAAUCAGAAACAACUAUUGAUUUGAAAGUUAGGGCCCCAUUGGGAAUUGUUGUUAUUUUUUAUUAUUUUUUUAACCCUACUUUUAUAUAAUUUGCGACUUCGGCCAAGCAAUAUAUAACAAUUUUUUUAAAAAAAAUAAAUUAUGAAUAAAAUAAUUAUUUUUAUUUUUUAUUAUCAAAUAAAUAUUUUAGAUUAAAAAAUACAAAAAAUUUACCAUCCAGUCCCACAUCUUUUUACAUAAAAAUAUCAUUUAAAAAAUUUAAAAGAACAUGCAUAUAAUUAUCUUCUUCUUCUUUUUUUUUGAAAGAGAGAGAGAGGUAGCAUACUACUCACUUCAUUUAUUUUUUUUCAAAAUAAAUUUAGCUGGAAAUGUGAAUCAACUAAAAUUUAAAUUGAAAUUUCAGAUACCAACUAUCAAAUAUUUUACCAC